UUGGACCUGAUAUCAAACAAGACUACCCGCUGAACUUAAGCAUAUCAAUAAGCGGAGGA
rnacentral:rRNA from 1 species